UUUUUUUAGACAAUGUGAGCCGGCCCAAAACUAAUUAUCCAACAACAAAACAAUAGCCCACAAUCCAUUUACCCUUAAAUCCCAACCCAACUCAUAUAUACAAAUCCAAUAUCACAACCCAUUUACCCAAAUUUCCAAAAUCAAAAUUUGAAAUACGAAUUAUACGAUUUAGGGAUGCUCUUCUCGACGUGCUGCGGUGCUCUCCUAUGUCUUCUCUGUUUGUUCAUCAUCGUCCGGUCACUCGACUCACUCCACAAUCUCCACAGGUCCACCUCCGCCCAGACCCUUCACCGGCCGCUUGAAAUUUGAAUCUUCAAUUCUUCAUAAGUCGGUUGAAGUCGAACACUCGAACUUCGAACUCGAAGUGUAAGUCGUGUGACUCUGCAGUAGCGCCUGCAGCCUACUCCACUGGACCGCUGCUUGUCGUCGCCCGUUGAGGACCUAUCACCUGCUGUAUAGUCUGUUUGGGGCCGCACAAUUUAGAUAAAAUUUCUGUAAGUUACAUGUACAUUAUUCACAAUUUCUGAUUAAUUCGUUUAUUUAUGUUUAGGCUUAUUAAUUUAUUAUAAUUACUUAAUUUUUUUAUUGAACAGUAUUUUAAACUUUAAAGCGGUAGGGGCGGAGGCCGGACCGGAGAGGCGGGAGAGCUUUCAACUUUGUUGGGACUUAGUUCCUGGCUCCUGCAGUCUGCAGGUUAGAAUUUAGCCUUCUUGUAUGUGUAAUCCAUUGGGCAAUUUAUGUUUGUUACUUGUUAGUUUGUAUUAUAGGUAACUCAAUAUUUAUCCAGUAGUAAGGGGUGAAGCCCAGCGCCCUAAAAUUGAAUGAGUCCCAGUGUCCCACCAAAAUGCUAGCUGCCAUUGCUUCAAAAUUCUAGACUAAUCUGAGCAAUUCCAAUUUGAUAUAUCAUUAUUAUCAUCGUUCGAAUAUCCUCAGGGCUUCACCACUGCUCCAUAUGUGGCCAAAAAUUUCCAUGUUUUUGUAAGUUCUAAUUUUUAAAAAAUUUUCCUUUUCACUUUUUGUAAGUAAGUAAUUUGGUGUUUCUUUUUCAAUAAUUAUUGGUUCUUAAGCAUUCCAGUUGUAGUUGUAUUGUUUGAUAAGAUAACCCAUGCUUUCUGUAGGAACAGCAAAUAAUUGCAUUUCUAGAUCAUAGGAAUGGGUCAUAAAUUAGUAAGUUGGCAGUGAAUUAGUGCCAGUGUAAUAUGUCUGAUAAUGUUUGUAUCUCAUCUUAAUUUGGGAAUCAGAACAAUGUAAUGAAAUUUAAACUAAUUCUUACAUAAGUCAAGUAAAAAUUGGGAGGUAAGGCUAUUGGACAAGGAACUUAGUUUGAUUGAUAUUAGUUACUAUCUGUCUGUGUUGUGCUGUAUGAGUUUUAGUGGACAUAUGUUUUGUCAAAUUGACUGAGUGUGGAUAAACCAGAUUUCAAAUGUCACUACAACCAGUUAGUUAGGCAUCUUGUAGUUUCGGAGACUUGGUCCGUUCAGAAUUUCAUUUUGGCAUUACAAUUAAACUAACUUCGUGUCCCCGGUUUAGCUGUGGUGUGUAAGUGUAAUAAGAUUGUGGUUUUUGCUUUGGCCCCAGUAGAAUUGUUUUAGAAAAUAUAUGACAGUGCCACUGAAAUAUUUUGGGAUCUAUUAAGUUGUUAAAAUGCAUCUUCUGAAUUCUAGAAAACCCAUAUUGCUUGAGGGUCUAGUUAGCUUAGCAAGGCUCAAGCUUUGUCCAAAAUGGAAUAUGUAUUACUGCUGAUGCAGAAACUUUUAUAAUGAACAAAUGGUUUAUCUUUUUCAAUUUUCAGAAUUCAUACAAUCAAAAGCGUUGCUAAAACGAAACUAAUAAGCACGCUUUUCCUCAACAUUUUGUAUGUAUUUCAUGAAUAAAAUCUAAAUUUUUCCUUUAUUUUUGCUCGAUGAAAUAAUCAAAUGGUGAAGGGUAUAUACAUAGGUGAGGAGGAGGAUGGGAUAUUACGUGCAUGUGAAGCUAUUUUACUGGAUUCUAACAGAACCAUUCACAUGGGAGUUGGGAGAAGAUAAGUUUGCAGAUAGUAGAUGAAGAGUUCAUGGAAAUUCUAAGAAAGUAACUAUGCUAUCAAUAAUUUAUGAGAAAAGUAAAUACUGCAUAAAUGAAAAUUAGUAUAUAUAAAUACCUUUGUUAUAUCUCAUGUAAUUCAUAACGUUAAUUUCCUUUUUUCUAAGAGAACUUGUGUAUAUUAUAAAAUGCAACUUGACAUAGUGGAUUUGGAGUCACUAAGGGUAAAGAGAAUGGGAUACAUUUUAGUGGUAACUGGCUGUUACUAGGAUGAAACUGAGGCAGUUGACUAGGAAUAAAAAACCUAUGAUCUUAACACUUGAUAAGAUGUAGAGCACUGGUUGUAGGAGCAUCUCACAAGCAAGAAUUUCUGACAAACAAAGUAUAACCCGCUACUUGGAAACUUGUGCCAUUUUACAGCUCUAUUUGGUGGUGUGAAGGCACAUUCUAAGGAAGUGGAAAUUUGUAUAUAGCAAUAAGUCUGCCAACAACUAUAGUUUUGCCAAAUUUUCAAUGACAGACAAUUGUAUUUAAGCAUUGAAUUAUAUAGAGAAUGUAAUACUUUCUUUCAUCGGUAUUAUGCAUGUUGAUUCUAAGAGAUGUCUUUGUCUCAAUUUGUAGGGGCCAUUAUGAAUGCACCUGAAGCUAUUAUUAAAUUUUUUAAAAUUGCAAUCGGCUUACUCCUAGUUCAGAAAAUGGUAUCAUUCUCAAUGGUGUAAUUCCACAAUCUUCAUCUAAAUUCCAUUUCUCUAGUAAGUAAUGGUUUGCACUAACUUGUUAUUGAAGAGAUUGGAAUUAUUUGAAGCCUUAUCAGCUUAUAUAAUUGCAGCCUAGUCGGCUCAUAUGAUUGCUUAUUGUACGAUGAACAAUUGAACAGGCGCACGUAGUAACUAUAUUCGAAACUAUAAUUGUGAGAUGAUUGAGAUAUUGUGUAAUUGUUUUUUAGGUUAAUCAUUGGACAUUAGAUAUUCACCCCUAUAGUAUGCCUCCUAAAUAUGAGUCUGGUGCUCAAAAGAGGAAAAGGAAACGAGAUGAAAUUGCAUUAAUUCAAAGCAAGCAGGGGAUAUUAACAAGUACUUCAAAAGCAACAAUGUGAAUGUGUUGAAUGAGGAUGAAGUAGAGAUUCAACAAGACCAUGUUAAUGAAGUUAGAUGAUAAGGAUGAAGAAGUGAGUCAACAGGCAGAUGUUAACGAAGUAGAUGAUAAGAAAGAAGAAGUGAUGAAGCCCGCCUCUAAUAAUGAAGAAGAUGAUAAGGAAGAAGAUUGUUGCUUUUCUAUAAAUUUGGAUGAUCCUGGGAAUUGGAAAAUCAUUGGUCAAAGAACCAGGGAUUACUUAGUUGAAAGGGGUCCAAAAAGAGUUGAUGACAUCUCGUUUCCGAAAGACUAUACAAAUAGACAUUUCGAUUCUUUAUAAUAUAAGCGAUUAUUACUAAAUGGGCAAACAGUUGAUAGAAGAUGGCUAGUAUAUUCAGUGUCUAUGGACAGUAUCUUCUGCUUUACUUGCAAGUUGUUUAAAACACAAAUAAAUGUGACCGAAGUUGGCCAACUAGGUAAUGAUGGAUUCAAAAAUAGACAUAAUUUGUAUCGAUCUAUUAAAAGUCAUGAAGGAAAUGAAGAGCAUUUAAGUUGCAUGACUAGUUGGAUUGAAUUGGAAAAUAGGCUUCAAACAAAAACUACAAUUAAUAAAAGCUUUGAAUUGUUGAUUGAUGCUGAAAGAGAACAUUGGAUACAUGUAUUAACAAGGAUAAUCACUAUUGUAAAAAGACUUGCAAAAAGCACAUUGCUAUUUCGAGAAGAUGAUGAGAGGCUACAUGUUGAGUACAAUGACCAUGGUUAGUGAAUUUGAUCCAGUAAUGCAAGAGCACCUUCGACGAGCUAAAGCAAGAGAGAUUCAAUAUACGUAUCUUGGCAAAAAAAAUUCAAAAUGAUUUGAUACAGUUGUUGGCUAAUGAGGUGAGAAGUUCAAUUGUCAAGAAAGUUAAACAUGCAAAAUAUUUUGCAGUUAUACUUGAUUGUACUCCAGAUGCAAGUCACGAGGAACAAAUGUCUUUAAUUGUAUGAUUUGUAGAUGAUUCGAAAAACUUACCUACAGUUGAAGAACAUUGGCUAAAAUUUUUUAAAGCAGAUGAUACAAUAGGACUUGGACUUGCAACCGAGUUUCAAAAGGCUUACUCCAUGUGGCACUCAUAGUCUAAAUAUAGCAUUAUGUGAUAUGGUGAAUUGUUGUCCAAAGUUGUAUCCUUCUUCGGAGUGAUACAACGCAUCUACACAUUGUUUUCUUCUUCUACCAAGUGAUGGAAAAUUUUCAAAGACAGUGUACAAGGGUUGACAAUGAAGCCAUUGUCACAAACAUGUUGGAAAAGUCAUGAUAAUGGAGCAAAUUGCACAGAUAAGAGAUGCAUUAUUUGAUUUGGCAGAAAGUAAUGAAUAUCCUAAACUGAAGAGUGAAGCCGAGUCAUUAGCAACACAUGAACUUCAAAAAUUUUGAGUUUUUGCUUGGCAUGAUAAUCUGGUACAGGUUGUUGCAUGCUGUCAAUAUUGUGAGUAAAUUUCUUCAAACCGAAUCCAUGGAUAUUAAUCAUGUUAUCGACCUCUUGCAAGGACUUGUUUCAUUUCUUGAGGAAUAUAGAGAAAUUGGAUUUGCUAUUGCCAAGGAUGAAGCGACAAAAAACGCAAGCGAAAUGGGAAUUGAAGCUGUAUUUAUAGAAAAACGCAUAAUUCGAAGAAAAAAAUAAUUUGAUGAAAGCGGUAGUAAUGAGGUAAAGCAAUCAACAGAAGAAUUUUUUAGAGUUGAGUGCUUUGUUUUUAUAAUUGAUCAAGCUCUAUCUUCUCUGAGAACCCAAUUUGAACAAUUCAAACAAUAUGAUAACACAUUUGGAUUUUUGUUUAAUUUGAAGAGGUUAAGGGGUGCAACUUUUUCAAGUUUAUUGAACUCUUGUAUGAAUCUUGAGAAAUAUCUUCAACAUGAUCGGCGUUUGGACAACAGUGGGGAUGAUUCAUGUUCGGAGUUACAAAUCUUGAUGUGUUAUAUACCAGGUGAAGCAACAAGAGCAAUUGAAGUGCCACAUUAUUUGAAGAUAUUGAAUGUUUGUUUUCCAAAUGCUUAUAUUGCUUACAAAAUUUUGUUAACCAUACCGGUUACAGUUGCAUUUGCGGAAAGAAGUUUCUCGAAAUUGAAGUUGAUCAAGACCUAUCUCCGAUCAACCAUGUCGAAAGAAAAAUUAAACGGGUUGACUAUGUUAUCAAUAGAGAAAGAAAUGAUUGAGUAGCUAAAUUAUUCAGAUUUGAUUGAUGUUUUUGACUCUAAAACAACAAGACGAAUAGAAUUUAACUAAUUGUUUCAAACAUUGUUGGUUUUGAUAGUUUAUAAUAUAAAUAUUUUCUAUAAUAUAUUUGGUUGCUGUUUUAAUGUUAGUUUUUUAAAUUAGUAAUGGGUCGCAUAAUUCAUUUUUGAAGUUUGCAUUUACGUAGAUUUCGUCGGGGCCUAAUUUCCAGACUUCGUCUCAGGCCCCGAGAAUUACAGGAUCG
rnacentral:lncRNA from 1 species